ACUUGACCAUCAGAGGAUCUCCAUCGGAGUUACCUCUGAUCAGUGUAGACUUCUUUUAUAGGUGCUCGCUCCUGACGAUCAGACGAUGAGGGGAUUGACCGCAAUACCUAUAAAUAAGGAUUUGUUGCAUUGAAAACCACUUCAAAUUUUCAGUCAUUAGAAGAAGUUCUUUCUUGGAUAUUGAUGAAGCUUGUUAAGGGUAGAAAAGAGAAAGCCCAUCAUUCUUGAAGUGGUACCAGCCUCCGUACCAACGUUGUCAUUCUACGUUGAAGUAUGACAUGA
rnacentral:lncRNA from 1 species